UCUCCGUUAGCUCAGUCGGUAGAGCGUCUGACUGUUAAUCAGAGGGUCGUAGGUUCGAGUCCUACACGGAGAGCCA
rnacentral:tRNA from 1 species